rnacentral:rRNA from 1 species
ACGGGAGGCAGCAGUGGGGAAUAUUGCACAAUGGGCGAAAGCCUGAUGCAGCGACGCCGCGUGAGUGAAGAAGUAUUUCGGUAUGUAAAGCUCUAUCAGCAGGGAAGAAAAUGACGGUACUUGACUAAGAAGCCCCGGCUAACUACGUGCCAGCAGCCACGGUAAUACGUAGGGGGCAAGCGUUAUCCGGAUUUACUGGGUGUAAAGGGAGCGUAGACGGUAUGGCAAGUCUGAAGUGAAAGCCCGAGGCUCAACCUCGGGAUUGCUUUGGAAACUGUCGUACUAGAGUGCAGGAGAGGUAAGCGGAAUUCCUAGUGUAGCGGUGAAAUGCGUAGAUAUUAGGAGGAACACCAGUGGCGAAGGCGGCUUACUGGACUGUAACUGACGUUGAGGCUCGAAAGCGUGGGGAGCAAACAGGAUUAGAUACCCUGGUA